AGUCGACGGGAUCUUCGGAUUCUAGUGGCGGACGGGUGAGUAACGCGUAAGAAUCUAACUUCAGGACGGGGACAACAGUUGGAAACGACUGCUAAUACCCGAUGUGCCGAAAGGUGAAACCUAAUUGGCCUGAAGAAGAGCUUGCGUCUGAUUAGCUAGUUGGUGGGGUAAAGGCCUACCAAGGCGACGAUCAGUAGCUGGUCUGAGAGGAUGAGCAGCCACACUGGGACUGAGACACGGCCCAGACUCCUACGGGAGGCAGCAGUGGGGAAUUUUCCGCAAUGGGCGAAAGCCUGACGGAGCAACGCCGCGUGAGGGAGGAAGGUCUUUGGAUUGUAAACCUCUUUUCUCAAGGAAGAAGUUCUGACGGUACUUGAGGAAUCAGCCUCGGCUAACUCCGUGCCAGCAGCCGCGGUAAUACGGGGGAGGCAAGCGUUAUCCGGAAUUAUUGGGCGUAAAGCGUCCGCAGGUGGUCAGCCAAGUCUGCCGUCAAAUCAGGUUGCUUAACGACCUAAAGGCGGUGGAAACUGGCAGACUAGAGAGCAGUAGGGGUAGCAGGAAUUCCCAGUGUAGCGGUGAAAUGCGUANAGAUUGGGAAGAACAUCGGUGGCGAAAGCGUGCUACUGGGCUGUAUCUGACACUCAGGGACGAAAGCUAGGGGAGCGAAAGGGAUUAGAUACCCCUGUAGUCCUAGCCGUAAACGAUGGAUACUAGGCGUGNCUUGUAUCGACCCGAGCCGUGCCGAANCUAACGCGUUAAGUAUCCCGCCUGGGGAGUACGCACGCAAGUGUGAANCUCAAAGGAAUUGACGGGGCCCGCNNAAGCGGUGGNNUAUGUGGUUU
rnacentral:rRNA from 1 species